rnacentral:sRNA from 1 species
ACUCGAGCGCCAGCGAGAGAGCGUUGCCGCAGGCAACGACCCGCAGGGCGAAGCGCGCAGCGCUGAGUCAUCCUUCCCCCACCAGCA